GAGAGCAAAUCCUUAGAAGGAGAUCGAAAGAUCUGUGAAGUACAUCAUGGAUCACACCAUAUCUAAUAAGGUGUGAUUCUUCUUUCUGUAAUACUAUUUAAUUAUGGAGUAUAAGAAGAUGUCCACUAAGAGAGAAUUUUAUUUUUCUUUAAAUGAUCAAGAAACUCACUAUUUAAGUAUUCUCCUCUUCGAUUAAAUCGAAGAGCUUUAAUACUUUUGCCAAUUUAUUUGUCAA
rnacentral:lncRNA from 1 species